rnacentral:rRNA from 1 species
AGAGUUUGAUCCUGGCUCAGGACGAACGCUGGCGGCGGGCCUAACACAUGCAAGUCGAAGGGGAUUCACCGAGCUUGCUCGGUGAUGAGACUGGCGUACGGGUGCGUAACACGUAAACAAUCUGCCUGCAGGUGGGGGAUAACCCCGGGAAACCGGGGCUAAUACCGCAUGAUGCAGCGGGGCCGCAUGGCCACAGUUGUUAAAGCCCUUCGGGGCGCCUGCAGAUGAGUUUGCGCAGCAUUAGUUAGUUGGUAGGGUAACGGCCUACCAAGACGAUGAUGCUUAGGGGUUCUGAGAGGAUGAUCCCCCACACUGGCACUGAGACACGGGCCAGACUCCUACGGGAGGCAGCAGUGAGGAAUAUUGCGCAAUGGGCGAAAGCCUGACGCAGCCACGCCGCGUGCCGGAAGAAGGUUCUUUGAAUCGUAAACGGCUUUUGUCGGGGAAGAAUGAUCUGGAUUUGUCCGGAUUUGACGGUACCCGUUGAAUAAGCACCGGCUAACUCCGUGCCAGCAGCCGCGGUAAUACGGAGGGUGCAAGCGUUGUCCGGAAUCAUUGGGUGUAAAGGGUGCGUAGGCGGAAGCUUAAGUCUGUGGUGAAAUGUUGCCGCUCAACGGCAAACGUGCCAUGGAUACUGGGUUUCUUGAGUGUGACAGAGGCAGGUGGAAUUCGUAGUGUAGCGGUGAAAUGCAUAGAUAUUACGAAGAACACCAGUGGCGAAGGCGGCCUGCUGGGUCACAACUGACGCUGAGGCACGAGAGCGUGGGGAGCGAACAGGAUUAGAUACCCUGGUAGUCCACGCUGUAAACGAUGUAUGCUAGGUGUUGGUCACGGUUUGGCCGUGAUCAGUGCUGCAGCUAACGCAUUAAGCAUACCACCUGGGGAGUACGUUCGCAAGAAUGAAACUCAAAGGAAUUGACGGGGGCCCGCACAAGCGGUGGAGCAUGUGGCUUAAUUCGAUGCAACGCGAAGAACCUUACCCGGGCUAAAUCCGCCCUGCUACUCCCCGAAAAGGGAGGUUCCUUCGGGACGGGGUGGAAGGUGCUGCAUGGCUGUCGUCAGCUCGUGCCGUGAGGUGUUGGGUUAAGUCCCGCAACGAGCGCAACCCCUGUGGUUAGUUACCAACGCGUAAUGGCGGGGACUCUAGCCAGACUGCCUACGCAAGUAGUGAGGAAGGUGGGGACGACGUCAAGUCAUCAUGGCCCUUACGUCCGGGGCUGCACACGUGCUACAAUGGUCGGUACAGAGGGCAGCUGCUGCGCGAGCAGUGGCCAAUCCACAAAGCCGAUCCCAGUUCGGAUCGCAGUCUGCAACUCGACUGCGUGAAGUUGGAAUCGCUAGUAAUCGCCUAUCAGCAAUGAGGCGGUGAAUACGUUCCCGGGCCUUGUACGCACCGCCCGUCAAGCGAUGGAAGUGGGUAGUACCUGACGAUGCCGUGCUAACCUUCGGGAGGCAGGCAUCCAGGGUAAGACUCGC